rnacentral:rRNA from 1 species
UACAGAGGGGGCAAGCGUUAUUCGGAAUUAUUGGGCGUAAAGGGCGCGUAGGCGGCGAUUCAAGUGACGGGUGAAAUCCCUCGGCUUAACCGAGGAACUGCCUGUCAGACUGGAUUGCUUGAGGCCGGGAGAGGCGAGUGGAAUUCCCAGUGUAGCGGUGAAAUGCGUAGAUAUUGGGAGGAACACCAGUGGCGAAGGCGGCUCGCUGGACCGGAUCUGACGCUGAGGCGCGAAAGCGUGGGGAGCAAACAGG